rnacentral:rRNA from 1 species
AGAGUUUGAUCCUGGCUCAGGAUGAACGCUAGCGGCAGGCUUAACACAUGCAAGUCGAGGGGUAACGCGGGGUAGCAAUACUCUGGCGACGACCGGCGCACGGGUGCGUAACGCGUAUGCAACCUGCCCUCAACCGGGACAUAACGCCGAGAAAUUGGCGCUAAUAUCCCAUGUGUAUGUGAGGCGGCAUCGUCUUACAUAUAAAGAUUCAUUGGUUGAGGAUGGGCAUGCGUAACAUUAGCUGGUUGGCGGGGUAACGGCCCACCAAGGCGACGAUGUUUAGGGGUUCUGAGAGGAUUCACCCCCACACUGGAACUGAGACACGGUCCAGACUCCUACGGGAGGCAGCAGUAGGGAAUAUUGGGCAAUGGAGGCAACUCUGACCCAGCCAUGCCGCGUGAAGGAAGACGGCCCUAUGGGUUGUAAACUUCUUUUGCCGCAGAGUAACCUCGGGGACGAGUCCCCGACUGAGAGUAUGCGGCGAAUAAGUAUCGGCUAACUCCGUGCCAGCAGCCGCGGUAAUACGGAGGAUGCGAGCGUUAUCCGGAUUUAUUGGGUUUAAAGGGUGCGCAGGCGGGCGAUUAAGUCAGCGGUGAAAGGCUCGGGCUCAACCGGAGCAGUGCCGUUGAUACUGGUUGUCUUGAAUGCGGUCAAGGCCGGCGGAAUGUGGCGUGUAGCGGUGAAAUGCAUAGAUAUGCCACAGAACACCGAUAGCGAAGGCAGCUGGCCGGGCCUGCAUUGACGCUGAGGCACGAAAGUGUGGGGAUCGAACAGGAUUAGAUACCCUGGUAGUCCACGCUGUAA